rnacentral:rRNA from 1 species
GAACGAACGCUGGCGGCCUGCCUAACCCAUGCAAGUCGAACGAGACCUUCGGGUCUAGUGGCGCACGGGUGCGUAACGCGUGGGAACCUGCCCUUAGGUUCGGAAUAACUCUCCGAAAGGGGUGCUAAUACCGGAUAAUGUCUUCGGACCAAAGAUUUAUCGCCUUUGGAUGGGCCCGCGUUGGAUUAGCUAGUUGGUAGGGUAAAAGCCUACCAAGGCGACGAUCCAUAGCUGGUCUGAGAGGAUGAUCAGCCACACUGGGACUGAGACACGGCCCAGACUCCUACGGGAGGCAGCAGUGGGGAAUAUUGGACAAUGGGCGAAAGCCUGAUCCAGCAAUGCCGCGUGAGUGAUGAAGGCCUUAGGGUUGUAAAGCUCUUUUACCCGGGAUGAUAAUGACAGUACCGGGAGAAUAAGCUCCGGCUAACUCCGUG